rnacentral:tRNA from 1 species
GCGUUUGUAGCUCAGCUGGAUAGAGCAAUGCCCUUCUAAGGCAUCGGUCACACGUUCGAAUCGUGUCAAGCGUACCA